rnacentral:rRNA from 1 species
GAUGAACGCUGGCGGCGUGCUUAAUACAUGCAAGUCGAACGAAGAGCUUUGUAGCAAUACGGAGCUUCUUAGUGGCGAACGGGUGCGUAACGCGUUGGUGACCUGCCCCGAAGUGUGGAAUAACAGUUCGAAAGGACUGCUAAUACCGCAUGUGGUUCUCCGGGUUAGAGGCUGGAGUUCUAAAGCAGUAAUGCGCUUCGGGAGGGACCUGCGUCCCAUCAGCUAGUUGGUGAGGUAAUGGCCCACCAAGGCUACGACGGGUAGGGGACCUGAGAGGGUGGUCCCCCACACUGGCACUGAAUCACGGGCCAGACACGUACGAGUGGCAGCAGUAGGGAAUAUUGGGCAAUGGGCGAAAGCCUGACCCAGCAACGCCGCGUGCAUGAUGAAGGUCUUCGGAUCGUAAAAUGCUUUUCUGAGAGAUGAGAAAGGACAGUAUCUCAGGAAUAAGUCUCGGCUAACUACGUGCCAGCCGCCGCUGUAACAC